UUGAUAAUCAAAGAAAUAUAUAUCAUAUGCUCCUUUCAUCCCAUUCUUGGUUUUCAAAGCUAACAAAAAGCCGAAAACGCAGCAGAUCUGCGAGAGAAAGAAGAAGAUGAUACACAGGAAAUGGAGUCUGCUCACUGGGCCCGUUGCCGUACUGGGAGGCAUAGUCGCCACGGUCGUCGUCACCCACUUCGUCUUCGUCGGUAACGAUCGUUUUCUUAAGAUGGAUCCAAGGAAGGAAGAAGCCACCGCUUCAAGAAAAUAAGGCAAGGAUCAAGAGUUGUAUUUUAAUGUGACCUUUUUUAUUUUUUUCUGUUCAUCUGUUUGAAUGAAAUUGUAGUGGUAAUUGCAAUGAAUUAAGUUUGUGGAGUCAGUUUCAUGAAUUUGGAUUCUAUGUUAUGUUGACGUGGUUUGAUUGCAAGCUAAUAAAUGCCCAAAUUCAAUUG